rnacentral:lncRNA from 1 species
CAAGAAGAUGGUGCUCUACGAAUCAGGAGAUGGGUGCUUGUUAUACACCAAUUCUGUAGGCAUCUUCGUCUUUUACUUUUCAGCCUCCAGAACAGUAAGAAACUCAUUAUUUAUAAGCCAUCCAGCCUAUGGUAUUUCUCUUAUAGCAGUACAAAUGAACUAAGACAGUCUGGAGACAAUAGCUUAAAUAUGAACACAAGGGACACUAAGCCAGUGAGGCCUUUUCCUGCCUAUAAAGCCAGCCUCUUCUCAACUCAACAGAACAUUCAAUUUUAUAGAAUGAGGUGUUGCCUCAUUCUAGAACCACAAUAAAAGCCAAUUUGAUCUUUA